UUCCCAAUCUCUUCCCCAUCUCUCUCGCCUCUCUCUCGCCUCAUCGUCAGCUCGUCCUUCGCUCACCGUCGAAGGCGAGUGGGAAGAAGGAGUUUUCAACUCGCUAUCUCCAGCUCCUUGAGCUGCGCGGCGCUAACGCAAGUUUGUCAGGUGAAGAAGAGAAGGGAUUUGUUUGGGCAAUGACCGGAACUAUAACAGAGGAUUACGGAAUGAGCCUUAGGUCUUCAGCUACAGAGGGAACGUUAAGCGAGCAGCGCUGCCCGUCCAGUGAUUCAAUCACGGAAUGGCGGUCCUGCGAGCAGGUUGAGAAUGGGACACCUUCCACUUCACCCCCAUACUGGGAUACUGAUGAUGACGAUGAUGGCAGAUCAAAGACUUUCGAGCUCUAUGGAAGAUUUACGUGGAAGAUUGAAAAAUUUUCAACAAUCAACAAAAGAGAAUUGCGAAGUAAUGCAUUUGAAGUUGGAGGCUACAAGUGGUACAUUUUGAUCUACCCACAGGGUUGUGAUGUCUGCAAUCAUCUUUCAUUAUUUCUUUGUGUUGCUAAUCAUGACAAACUUCUCCCAGGAUGGAGUCAUUUUGCGCAGUUUACAAUAGCUGUAGUCAACAAAGACCCAAAGAAAUCAAAGUACUCUGAUACAUUACAUAGGUUUUGGAAAAAGGAGCAUGAUUGGGGUUGGAAAAAGUUCAUGGAGUUAUCUAAAGUGUAUGAUGGCUUUAUUGUUGCUGACACUCUUGUUAUUAAAGCCCAAGUCCAAGUUAUCAGGGAGAAGGCAGACCGCCCUUUUCGUUGUCUUGAUUGCCAAUACAGGAGGGAACUGGUCCGAGUAUAUUUGUCAAAUGUAGAGAAGGUUUGCCGGCAUUUUCUAGAAGAGAGAAUAGGCAAGCUUAGCAAGUUUGUUGAGGAUAAAGUGAGGUGGUCUGGUUUUCGUGCCUUUUGGUUCGGAAUGGAUCUAAAUUCUAGGUGGCGCAUGUCAAGAGACAGAACAGAUGCUAUACUGAAAGCAGUUGUUAAACAUUUUUUCAUAGAGAAAGAAGUCACAUCUACUUUGGUUAUGGAUUCUCUAUACAGUGGGCUAAAGGCUCUUGAAUUUCAGAGCAAGAACAUGAAAGGAAGAGCUAGAUUAGUGGAUUUGGAAGAAUUACCAUCUCCUAUGAUCCUAGUUGAUAAAGAUUUGUUUGUAUUGGCUGAUGAUGUAAUUCUUCUGAUUGAAAGAGUGGUAUCAGACUCCUUGCCUCAUCAGCCUUUGCCUUCGAAAGAUGACAAGUGUCCACAGAAUCGUACCAAGGAUGGAAGCUCUGGGGAUGAGUUUAAUAAGGACUCCAUUGAGCGUGAUGAAAAGCGACUUAUGGAGCUGGGUCGUAGGACAAUUGAAAUUUUUGUCCUAGCUCACAUAUUCAGCAGUAGAAUUGAAGUUUCCUACCAGGAGGCUGUUGCUCUAAAGAGGCAAGAGGAGCUUAUUCGGGAGGAGGAAGCUGCUGGCCAGGUUGAACAUGAGCUUAAGUCAAAGCGUGGUGCUGCUGAAAAGGAAAAACGUGCAAAGAAAAAACAGGCUAAACAGAAGCGUAAUAGUCGCAAGGGUAAAGACAAAGUAAAGGACGUGAGGUGUAAUCAAGGACAGGAGAGGCUCCAACAAGAAACUCCUUUGGAAGAGCGAACUUCAGAUAGCUUCUCCUCUGGGCAGGUAGAAUUGAUUAUUGAAAAGAUUGAUGCACGAGAAGAUGUGUCUGAGACUGGAGAUGAUGUUGCUGAGGUGCUUCAACCUGAUUUAGAUGACAGAGAUACCAGUCCUACUAAUUGGGACACAGAUACAUCAGAAAUUCAUCUGAUCACUGAAGCUAGUGGCAGCGAUGUGCAAAAUGGACAAACUGAAAAGAGGAGUCAAUCUGUUAUGGAUGAUAGCUCCUCAACGUGCUCAACCGACUCAGUUCCUUCUGCUUUCAUGAGUGGACCUUAUAAAGGAAACAUUUUACCAAACAACAAUGGUGCACAGUCUUCUCCAAACAGAAGAAAAAAUCAUUGGAGUAGAGAAACAAACAACCGCAUAAGUUUAACUCAUGGUGGGCAAAUUCCACCUGAAACUACUUCCGUUGAUGGCCAUUCACAUGAUGCUACUGGCAGCAAGGCUUCCCAACCUGAAUUGGAGGCCACUGGAUUCUCCUUCAAGAAUGAGAUACAGCAUCUUGGCAAAAAUUUAGCCAGGAAGGAGGAAGUUUCUUCUCUACAAAAGAAAUCAACAUCCAAAGAUCAGGUUGAUGCGGAGAGUCAAUCCUCUUCAUCUGGCCUCGGUAAAAAGCCACUCAGCACUAUUCAGCAGCCAAAGCAUUCCUCAGUUGUCACCACCUCCACCGCUGCCAUCACCGCUGCUAUCACCACAGUGGAGCCAGCUUCUUCUAAAGAGGCACCAUCGAGUAGCACAUCUCAAACCGAAAAGAUUCUUGUUCUUGCAUCAGGAUCAGCACCAGUUUCGUCCAGUUCCCAGUCUGAAGCUCAGAAGCAGAACAUGCCAUUAAAGAUUAAUACUUCUCAUCAAGACAAUGCAAUAUCACGGCCUUCCAGUGCUCCUCUUGUCCCGGCACCAAGGCCACCUGCUUCCAUCGCUUCCACAGUUCAAGCAGUACCUCUCCUUUCACGCUCUGUUAGUGCAGCUGGUCGAUUGGGAACUGAUCCAUCACCAUCUGCCCCAAGUUAUAUUCCGCAGUCAUACAGGAAUGCGAUAAUCGGUAAAACUAUGCGUGCAAGGAGGUCUGAUUUUAUUGAUGAGACUACUUCCUCAGGCCAAAGUGUUUCAUGCUCACAGUCUCCAUCGGUAUGCCUAUCAUCUGCCUCUAUGCUUCCGCCUCAGGCCCCUGUAAGGAAGGACCAGACAUCAGUUCGACCUGGCUUGACCUUUGGUUGCCUCAAGCCGGAAGUAGUCCAUAGCCAUCAUCCGCGGAUAGAUGACAGCUACCAUGAAUCCAGCAGCAGCAGUCAGAGGAUUGGUUCAUCUCUUGUGGAUAACAUGCAGAAGCUUGACAUUGAUAAUAAUUUGUGGAAAGAACAAUAUCCAGCUGAGAUUGCUUCCAGGAUUACUCCGUAUCAGGUCCAAGGUACGGUGGCAGAGGAGUUUCCUCACCUCGACAUUAUCAAUGACUUGCUCGAUGAUGAACAAAACAUUGAACGGGCAGCUAGAGGUCCACAACAUGGCUUCAAUAGGCAGUAUUCUUUGCCAAGUAAUUUGUUUGCUGCUGAGUUUGGAUCAUUAGGUGGCUCUGGCCGGUUUGACCAUUCAGAUCAGUACUAUGAAGAGGGUUUCCUUGGGGGCUACGGCACUUCCGCUAACCCCCUUCAAGGGCUGAGGGAUGGAGCUCUCCAGCAGAUGGAUCUUUCAUCAUAUUCUAAUAACCAUAGCCAGCUUGAUGGAUUGAUGCGGAACCAUUGGCCUUAUGGGAACACUGAUCCAUCCAUGCUCAGAUUGGGGGACGGGGAUGCUAAUACGUACCCUUACCAGUUCCGAGUCUAUCGGGCAAGAGGUGGAAACAGAUACUUGUAUCAUCCUGCUAAUGGGCCUUGAGAGCACGUAAUAGGAUUGACCAUUUGGUCAUAACAAUGAUUAUAAUCCAGCGCCAUCUGCUCUUGAAUGUUUCUCGAGUUUUUCUUGCCGGCGGAAGCGGAACCUGAAUUUGUCUGCUUGCCUCGAGUGCGGAGGUGAGGUGCUAAUUCUACUUAUUUACUGGCAUGUGUCUUUCAUGUUUAAAUAGGAAGCCAUACGAACAUUUAGUAUUCCCCCCUACAAGCAAAUUUCCGAAUUCUGAAGCUGAUUCAUGUGAUUUUUCAACGCCA